UACAGAGGUCCCAAGCGUUACUGAGAAUCACUGGGUUUAAAGGGUGCGUAGGUGGUCCGUUAAGUCAGUUGUGAAAUCCCUGGGCUCAACCCGGGAACUGCUUCUGAUACUGGCGGACUUGAGGCCAGUAGGGGUCACUAGAACUGACGGUGGAGCGGUGAAAUGCGUAGAUAUCGUCAGGAAUGCCGGUGGUGAAGACGGGUGACUGGGCUGGUUCUGACACUGAGGCACGAAAGCGUGGGGAGCGAACGGG
rnacentral:rRNA from 1 species